CCUGAGACUGGGUAAUUUUUAAAGAAAAGAGGUUAUUCGGGAGGCUGAGGUGGGAGGAUCUCUUGAGCCCAGGGGUUCUGGGCUGUAGUGCGCUAUGCCGAUCGGGUGUCCGCACUACGGUCAAUAUGGUGACCUCCCGGGAGCGGGGGACCACCAGGUUGCCUAAGGAGAGGUGAACCGACCCAGGUCGGACACAGAGCAGGUCAAAACUCCCAUGCUGAUCAGUAAUGGGAUUGCGCCUGUGAAUAGCCACUGCACUCCAGCCUGGGCAACAUAGCGAGACCCUGUCUCU
rnacentral:SRP_RNA from 1 species